AACGAACGCUGGCGGCAGGCCUAACACAUGCAAGUCGAGCGAGGACUUCGGUUCUAGCGGCGGACGGGUGAGUAACGCGUGGGAAUGUGCCCUUCUCUACGGAAUAGCCCUGGGAAACUGGGAGUAAUACCGUAUACGCCCUUUUGGGGAAAGAUUUAUCGGAGAAGGAUCAGCCUGCGUGGGAUUAGGUAGUUGGUGGGGUAAUGGCCUACCACGCCGACGAUCCAUAGCUGGGUUGAGAGGAUGCUCAGCCACACUGGGACUGAGACACGGCCCAGACUCCUACGGGAGGCAGCAGUGGGGAAUCUUAGACAAUGGGGGCAACCCUGAUCGAGCCAUGCCGCGUGAGUGAUGAAGGCCUUAGGGUUGUAAAGCUCUUUCAGCUGGGAAGAUAAUGACGUUACCAGCAGAAGAAGCCCCGGCCAACUCCGUG
rnacentral:rRNA from 1 species